UUGUAAAUGAAGCGUCCGUUCAAACACAGUAGUCAGGACGAAAAAGCGUGAGUGACUUAAUAAUUUCCUGUGUUGGACCUGGAGGGUGAUGAUUAAAAUUAAAACGAAAAUGUGAACUUUUUUGACAGACACAAGACAGAAUUUAUUGCCACCCAAGAUGAGAUCUUGCAUGGAGCUCCAACACCAGGACACGAUCUUACGUGGCUGUUACCAUGUCAAGUUUUCCAUGCUUCUGGAAGAGGCUUGAGAUGGCUAUAGUGGUGAGCACUGUUGACGCCAAAGCCAGUCCAAUCCAGGGAAUGGAACCAGCCUUGCAUGAGCAGUGCCCACUGGAUGCCAAAAGCUGCGAUGAGGAAGUUGAACCCCACGGCACCAAAGCUGUAGCGCUUGAGAAAAGUCAUCAGAAAGCCAAAACCUACAAAGAUCAUCACAUGGACAUCCUGGAAACCUUAACCGAAGCAAAUGGAUGCUGAGGUGAAAUGAACACGUCAGCUGAUGAAAGCACACAUCACUGCGCCGGUUGUGCAUUCAACAAUGUGGUAAUAUCCAUGAAGGUGUAAAUGGUUCACAGAUGCAAAAGCUCCAAGACUGUUGAAGCCCACACGGAAUGCCGGGUCAGAGCUCAGCAGCACAGACUGAAUCCCAACUUGGAUGGCAAACUUUGUGAGCACCUGAGGAAAGCAGCGUGAUGGAUCCGGAACAAAAAGACAAUGUCCAAACUCCAACGGACUGACAUUCACUAACACAACUAUCUUGCAUGGUUGGUGAUUACUUUCAUGUUCUUCUUCAGUGUCCAUCAUCUCAAAUAUGAUCUCAUCUGGAUUAAUUAAAUUGAAAUUAAACUGUUUGGCGUUGAAGUCCUGCUUGAUACUGAAUAUCUCCUGUGGUUUUCUUCUCUCUGUGCCUCUCUUGACAUUCAACUGGGCCACAAAACCACAGGAACCAGGCAGGAUACGUGUCUGCAGGUCCCCCAGAUUGUAGCGGAACAGCCCUCUUUCCAUUCUGUCAGUCCAGCCGGCUUGGAUGGCUGCAUCAAACCUUGAUAUCGUCCGAGGUGUGUCAUCAAAAUCAUAAUACACAUCCUUAACAAAGUCCUGGUUUCCAUAAACGAACUGGAUUGGCAUUGUUGAUUUUAGUAGUGAAUGUUGAAAACAGCAGCUAGCGUCGUCGUCACUGUCUUCUAUUUAGUUCCUGUCGUCGUACUAAAACACGUGGACAACAGGACAAAAAAACUAGUGUAAAAAUUACAUACCAUAUAAAAGGUGUAUUAGGUAAAAAUUACAUACCAUAUUACAUUUGUAUUUACACUGCAGAGUGAAGAGUUGAACAAUUUUACUACUGUUUUGCAAGUGCGAGUUACUUCCUACUCCGGUUCUUCUUCGUGGGUACUUGUAUUUCCGGUUUGAGAUUCCAAAAUAAAGCAAGCUUUACGUCACUAAUAUUGUUAGGUAAAAUUAAUAACAAUAUUGUAGAU